rnacentral:lncRNA from 1 species
UUUUGAAAUUCAAAUUUUAAAAUUGUUUGAUACCCAGCCCAAAAUGCUUACCCGAUUCACUCCAAAUCAAUACCCUUUUCAUUUCACAAACGGGGAGUCACUGCCCUAAUCUGAUUUCCUCAACUUUGCAGCACUGAUUGAUGCCGCUCUAGCUCCUCGAUAGAGACACUGUCGAAGACCAUGGAAUCCAUGUUGCCGAUAUGCUCGCUCUUCCAUUUCUAAGACAUUCGAUCGCUUGUUGUUGACUUGUAGCUGUUACCGCCCAUCUUCUCCGACCAAAUCUGGAGAAAACUCAAGUAUAUAUGUAUAUAUAUUAAGUGAGAAUCAAGUACAUGAAGUCACAAAGAUCUAUUGGGUUGGUUCACAAUUGUACACCUAUAAAUGGGAAAACUUCGCCUUGUUGGACAUUAUUUAUGAAAGUGGGUUCGAGCUUUCAUGUGCUUGAUACUUGUGUGUGAGUAUGCAACGACAAGCUUUACCUUAAAGUGUGUGUGUACAUAUUUGGUCGUUAUUUAUUUUAACAACACUCUUUCGUUGAAUUUUUUUAUUUUUGUGUGAAUUUGGUCUCAAGAUUUAAGCUGGUUUUAACACAAGUUUUCUUGUAGUGAAUGGUUCUUCCAAGUAUAAUUCUUGCAUAGUUACUAAGACUCAAAAGGUCGUAUGCCGUCAUGUUCACCAAUGUAGCAAAGCGUUGACACAUUUUGUCGUACCUCAAUUGUUCGGGAGUACUAACCAUACCAUCAUAAUGCACUACUACCCUCAUGUGGGCUCUACUAACAUCUCGC